GCACAAGCGGUGGAGUAUGUGGUUUAAUUCGAUGCAACGCGAAGAACCUUACCUGGUCUUGACAUCCCGGAGACCCUUAGGAAACUAGGGGGUGCUUCCAUCUGGAAGAAUCUGGAGACAGGUGCUGCAUGGCUGUCGUCAGCUCGUGUCGUGAGAUGUUGGGUUAAGUCCCGCAACGAGCGCAACCCUUGCCUUUAGUUGCCAGCAGUUCGGCUGGGCACUCUAAAGGGACUGCCGGUGUUAAACCGGAGGAAGGUGGGGAUGACGUCAAGUCCUCAUGGCCUUUAUGACCAGGGCUGCACACGUACUACAAUGGCCGAUACAAAGGGCAGCGACACUGCGAGGUGAAGCCAAUCCCGUAAAAUCGGUCUCAGUCCGGAUUGGAGUCUGCAACUCGACUCCAUGAAGUUGGAAUCGCUAGUAAUCGUGGAUCAGCAUGCCACGGUGAAUACGUUCCCGGGCCUU
rnacentral:rRNA from 1 species